rnacentral:rRNA from 1 species
UGGCGGACGGGUGAGUAAUGUCUGGGAAACUGCCUGAUGGAGGGGGAUAACUACUGGAAACGGUAGCUAAUACCGCAUAACGUCGCAGACCAAAGAGGGGGACCUUCGGGCCUCUUGCCAUCGGAUGUGCCCAGAUGGGAUUAGCUAGUAGGUGGGGUAACGGCUCACCUAGGCGACGAUCCCUAGCUGGUCUGAGAGGAUGACCAGCCACACUGGAACUGAGACACGGUCCAG